AUUGAACGCUGGCGGCAGGCCUAACACAUGCAAGUCGAGCGGAGCUGCGGACGGGUGAGUAAUUCCUAGGAAUCUGCCUGGUCGUGGGGGAUAACGUCCGGAAACGGGCCCUAAUCCCGCACCCUACUAGCUGAGCCUAGGCCGGAUUAGCUAGUUGGUGGGGUAAAGGCUUACCAUGGCGACGAUCCGUAACUGGUCUGAGAGGAUGAUCAGUCACACUGGAACUGAGACACGGUCCAGACUCCUACGGGAGGCAGCAGUGGGGAAUAUUGGACAAUGGGCGAAAGCCUGAUCCAGCCAUGCCGCGUGUGUGAAGAAGGUCUUCGGAUUGUAAAGCACUUUAAGUUGGGAGGCGUUACCAACAGAAUAAGCACCGGCUAACUUCGUGCCAGCCGCCGCGGUAAUUC
rnacentral:rRNA from 1 species